GACGAACGCUGGCGGCGUGCCUAAUACAUGCAAGUAGGACGCAGUUGCGAACGGGUGAGUAACGCGUAGGUAACUACCUAUUAGAGGGGGAUAACUAUUGGAAACGAUAGCUAAUACCGCAUACUAUUAGAUGGACCUGCGUUGUAUUAGCUAGUAGGUAGGGUAAUGGCCUACCUAGGCAACGAUACAUAGCCGACCUGGGAGGGUGAUCGGGCAAACGUGGACUGGGACAAGGGCCAGACGUCUACGGGAGGCAGCCGUAGGGAAUCUUCGGCAAUGGGGGGAACCCCGACCGAGCAACGCCGCGGGAGUUAAGAAGGUUUUCGGAUCGUAAAGCUCUGUUGUUAAGGAAGCGGUACUUAACCAGAAAGGGACGGCUAACUACGUGCCAGCAGCCGCGGUAAUAC
rnacentral:rRNA from 1 species